rnacentral:sRNA from 1 species
GUGUGCCACGCAUACAUCCCGAUUCCUCCGCGUCGCCGCACCAAACUGACGACGGCUCGCUACGUUUUGGUAGCG